rnacentral:lncRNA from 1 species
CCGUGACGGCGGCGCGGAGCUGCGCCACGAACUGCUGAUGGAUGCUGCGCGUCACGCGGGGCUGCGCGCGGUAGAAGCGGCGGUAGCACUGAGCGAAGCGUUCGUAACUCCCCGCCGCCAGCAGCUUCUCCAGGAACGCGUCCACCACGGCCGCCAUCAGCGCGGCGCGGCCCGGACCGCCGCCAUCGCCCUCCGCCUCCGCCGCAUCCGCCAUUUCCCGCCUCGCAACGGCCCCGACCUCGA